rnacentral:rRNA from 1 species
GAUGAACGCUGGCGGCGUGCCUAAUACAUGCCAGUCGAGCGAACAGACGAGGAGCUUGCUCCUCUGACGUUAGCGGCGGACGGGUGAGUAACACGUGGAUAACCUACCUAUAAGACUGGGAUAACUUCGGGAAACCGGAGCUAAUACCGGAUAAUAUAUUGAACCGCAUGGUUCAAUAGUGAAAGACGGUUUUGCUGUCCCUUAUAGAUGGAUCCGCGCCGCAUUAGCUAGUUGGUAAGGUAACGGCUUACCAAGGCACCGAUGCGUAGCCGACCUGAGAGGGGGAUCGCCCAAACGGGAACUGAGCCACGGUCAAGACUCCUACGGGAGGCAGCAGUAGGGAAUCUGCCGCAAUGGGCGAAAGCCUGACGGAGCAACGCCGCGUGAGUGAUGAAGGUCUUCGGAUCGUAAAACUCUGUUAUUAGGGAAGAACAAAUGUGUAAGUAACUAUGCACGUCUUGACGGUACCUAAUCAGAAAGCCACGGCCAACUACGUG